GAUGAACGCUGGCGGCGUGCCUAAUACAUGCAAGUCGAGCGAACAGAUGAGGAGCUUGCUCCUCUGACGUUAGCGGCGGACGGGUGAGUAACACGUGGAUAACCUACCUAUAAGACUGGGAUAACUUCGGGAAACCGGAGCUAAUACCGGAUAAUAUAUUGAACCGCAUGGUUCAAUAGUGAAAGACGGUUUUGCUGUCACUUAUAGAUGGAUCCGCGCCGCAUUAGCUAGUUGGUAAGGUAACGGCUUACCAAGGCAACGAUGCGUAGCCGACCUGAGAGGGUGAUCGGCGCCACUGGAACUGAGACACGGUCCAGACUCCUACGGGAGGCAGCAGUAGGGAAUCUUCCGCAAUGGGCGAAAGCUUGACGGAGCAACGCCGCGUGAGUGAUGAAGGUCUUCGGAUCGUAAAACUCUGUUAUUAGGGAAGAACAAAUGUGUAAGUAGCUAUGCACGUCUUGACGGUACCUAAUCAGAAAGCCACGGCUAACUACGUG
rnacentral:rRNA from 1 species